CGAACGAGAGAGAAGGAGCUUGCUUCUUCGAUCGAGUGGCGAACGGGUGAGUAACGCGUGAGGAACCUGCCUCAAAGAGGGGGACAACAGUUGGAAACGACUGCUAAUACCGCAUAAGCCCACGGGUCGGCAUCGACCUGAGGGAAAAGGAGUGAUCCGCUUUGAGAUGGCCUCGCGUCCGAUUAGCUAGUUGGUGAGGUAAUGGCCCACCAAGGCGACGAUCGGUAGCCGGACUGAGAGGUUGAACGGCCACAUUGGGACUGAGACACGGCCCAGACUCCUACGGGAGGCAGCAGUGGGGAAUAUUGCACAAUGGGGGAAACCCUGAUGCAGCGACGCCGCGUGGAGGAAGAAGGUCUUCGGAUUGUAAACUCCUGUUGUUGAGGAAGAUAAUGACGGUACUCAACAAGGAAGUGACGGCUAACUACGUGCCAGCAGCCGCGGUAAAACGUAGGUCACAAGCGUUGUCCGGAAUUACUGGGUGUAAAGGGAGCGCAGGCGGGAAGAC
rnacentral:rRNA from 1 species